rnacentral:rRNA from 1 species
CCUACGGGAGGCAGCAGUAGGGAAUAUUGCACAAUGGGCGAAAGCCUGAUGCAGCAACGCCGCGUGAGGGAUGAAGGCCUUCGGGUUGUAAACCUCUUUUAGUAGGGAAGAAGCGAAAGUGACGGUACCUACAGAAAAAGCACCGGCUAACUACGUGCCAGCAGCCGCGGUAAUACGUAGGGUGCAAGCGUUGUCCGGAAUUAUUGGGCGUAAAGAGCUCGUAGGCGGUUUGUCGCGUCUGCUGUGAAAAUCCGAAGCUCAACUUCGGACCUGCAGUGGG